GUUGUAUGGUUAAGUGACUAAGCGUACACGGUGGAUGCCUUGGCAGUCAGAGGCGAUGAAAGACGUAAUAACUUGCGAUAAGCCCAGAUUAGGUAGUAAUAACCAUUUGAGUCUGGGAUUUCUGAAUGGGGAAACCCACGUGCAUAAGCACGUAUCGUUAUGUGAAUACAUAGCAUAACGAGGCAAACCCGGGGAACUGAAACAUCUA
rnacentral:rRNA from 2 species